GACUAGAACAGGGCAGCUUUGCCUUAUAAGGGUGACCAGGAGUUGGAAGUCCUUUGAAACAAAGCAAGGGGAAGAACCCACUGCAGAGGGAGGGCGGAAGACCAGGGGCAAGCCAGCGGACCGUAGUCAAAGUGGGACCCGAUGAAGGUGAUGGCGCUCCCUCCAAGACCGCUUCUGGUUUUGCCGAAGAAACAUCUUAGAGAUCCAUCACAUUUCCAAGGUUAACAUUUACAAUUUGGAGUUGUUGACCUUCUUAUAAGAAAGAUUUUGGCCAUCAAAAUGAAAACUUUAUUUGAAGUUUUAGAACAAUUAUACAAGAAGGUACUUCUCGGAGCCACACUUGAAAAUGACAGCCAUGAUUACGUCUUUUAUCUCUACCCAGCAUUUUCAGAUCAAGGUUGUUCUACAACCACCUCCUCAGACUGCUUAAACGCCCCUGAUGUUCAGGACAAGCAGGAGCCAUCCUCUGUCAGUUUGCCUACCUUUUCUGUAGCACCUGUGUGUUUACAGAGACAUUCUCAGAUGAGCAGUACUGGAGAAAUAAUGCUCCUUCAGUUAACAGUGAUCAAAGUGAUGAUAACCCGAAUAUUGUCUGUGGAAACUGAAUUCCAUGCAAAGGAGAAAUACAGAGAUAUAAUUAAAAUUCUUUUAAAAUCAUCUGACAUCGAAUCUCAAUUGACCUGUAUGUUCCAAAACUCGGAGAAAUUGUUAUCUCACAUGGCUGCAAAGUGCCUUGCACUAAUUCUGUAUUUCCAACUGAAGGAAAAGAUAACAUUGAGUAAUUCCUGGAUUUCUUUUUGCCAAAAAAAUAUUUCUGAAUAUUCUGAAAGUGAUAAAGUAGUAUACUGCCUCUGGAUAGUUACCUUUGUAAUUAAAGAAAUCUUUAAAGAUACAUCUUCACAAAAAACAGAAAUUCUAAAGCAGUUCCUGACUCCUUUUGACACUCUUUUUGAAGUCUUUUACAAUUCCUUAUUUUCUCAGCAUUUUGAAAACCACCAAGAUGCUUCUAAUAAACUAAUAAACAGUUUGAUAUGUUUCCUGGAAUUGCUUGAACUUCUUAUAGCCUCUAGAAUCUACCUGAAGUUACAUUUCACUUGCCAGAGGAUUUUAUUUUUGAAAGCUUCUUGUGUGUUUGAUGUUAUUACCUGGCCUAUUCAGGCUUUUGUCAAAAGGAAGUUGAUCGUCUUCAUCAAAAAGUGCCUUCUGUGCAAAGUGGGUGAAGACCUUUGUCAGGGAUCUGUCCCUGUCUUCAUGCCACCAGAUAAUCUUUUGGAUGUGGACCUGUUGGCUUUGGCCAGUGCUGUUCUGCACGCUGUGGAUUUGGGCUUGUUGAGGAUAUUGUCUGUCCGUGGAAAACAUUCCUGCUUUGGAGGUGGUGAAGUCCUAGCUGGAUAUGAGCAUGCCCCUGGUCCAGAUCAUGUGAUUCUUAGAGCAUUGAGCUUACUUAUCAUAAGAUCCUUAGAAAUCAAGUUUCAAAAUUGUGCUUCAGCAAAUGAAAUGAAAGUUGAUUACCAGAGGUUCAUGUCUGAGUUGCUGACCUUCUUAAAGCCUCACCUUCAGCCCUCUCUGCAAUCACACAAUCUCUGUGAGUGGUUGUCUAGGGUCUUCAUAGAACAAGAUGAUGACAUGCUGGAGGCUGCCAAAGCAUUGCUGGGCAUCUACCUGAAGUUGACCAGAGAAUGUGAAGCUACUGAAAGCUUGACCCAAGAAACAGAAAUGUGGAGCCAUCACACACAUGAAAAUGGCUAUAAUCCACACUGUAUUUUUUUAUUUUUAUUAAAAAAUAUAGGAUUUGAUUCUACCGUUCUUCUUGAUUUUUUGAUUUCAUCAGAAACUUGUUUUCUUGAAUAUUUUGUUAGAUACUUAAAAUUAUUGCAAAAAGACUGGGAUAAUUUUUUCACCAUUUGCAAAUAUUUUGAUGUAACUGAAUCUAAAGAUAACAUACAUAUUUGUUGUUGUAUCUCCUCACUUGUCCAAGAUAGAAACAGCAACUCAACAGAAGCUAGUCCUUUGGCUGUUCUUGGUAGUCACACAAAUGCUCAUUCUUGGGUCUCCUGGACUUCUGCUGCUGCUUCUGAACCACUGAACCAUGGUGUAACGUUGGAGAAGGCCCACACCAAGCUCCAGGCUAAUUGUCUUUCUACCCCAGGAGCUUCUCAAAGUCUGGUAGAUUAUGACAGCUCUGAUGAUUCUGAAGAAGGAUCCACAAGCCUGUAUUUAGUAAACAGUAGACUAACAUCUUCACACCAAGAAGCAACGAAGAAAACUCAGGACACAUUUGGAGUAAGUGGGGAUAAAAAAGAACUUAGCCCAGAGUCUCAGUCAAGGCCUCUGGUUACUGAAGAAUCUAAUACCCGGUUCUCUGUUUAUUGUGAUGGAGCCCCAAAUAACACUGCUUCUGAAGUGGGAAUAUCUUACAGAACAGUAAAGUGCUUUGAAGAGCUACACGGUGCCAUUUACCGUUUGCAGAAGAAAAGUCUGUUCCCAUAUAAUCCAACAGCACUUUUAAAAUUGUUAAAACAUAUUGAGACAAUAUACAAUAAAAGUAUGACCCCUUUGUAA
rnacentral:lncRNA from 1 species